UACAGAGGGGGCAAGCGUUGUUCGGAAUUACUGGGCGUAAAGGGCGCGUAGGCGGCCUGCUAAGUCGAACGUGAAAUCCCCGAGCUCAACUCGGGAACUGCGUCCGAUACUGACAGGCUUGAAUCCGGGAGAGGGAUGCGGAAUUCCAGGUGUAGCGGUGAAAUGCGUAGAUAUCUGGAGGAACAUCAGUGGCGAAAGCGACUUCCUGGACCAAUACUGACGCUCAUGUGCGAAAGCGUGGGGAGCAAACAGG
rnacentral:rRNA from 1 species